rnacentral:rRNA from 1 species
UACGUAGGGUGCGAGCGUUGUCCGGAAUUAUUGGGCGUAAAGAGCUCGUAGGCGGUUUGUUGCGUCUAUCGUGAAAACCUGCGGCUUAACUGUGGGCUUGCGGUGGAUACGGGCAGACUUGAGUUCGGUAGGGGAGACUGGAAUUCCUGGUGUAGCGGUGAAAUGCGCAGAUAUCAGGAGGAACACCGGUGGCGAAGGCGGGUCUCUGGGACGGUACUGACGCUGAGACGCGAAAGCGUGGGGAGCGAACAGG